rnacentral:lncRNA from 1 species
GAAAAACAAAUAUUGUAUAUAUAUAAGAAAAACAACAAUUUAAAUAUGGUUGAGGAUAUGAUUUAAGUGCGCUUCAGUGCAUUAUCUUUCGAUUUAUGGGUUAAAGAGAAGUUAUGAGUCGUUCUAAGUAUUGUGUCAAAUGGAGUAGAUAUGAUUGAAACCUAUAAUGAGAUUAUUAAAAAAAAUGACAUCAAUUUUAGGGAUUUUUUUAUAAAAAAUUACUUGAACAAAUAAAAAAAUUAUUUUUUUAAUUCUUAUUUUUGGGUAAUAACUAAUAUAUUAACUAAUAAAAAUAUAAUUUUGUUGCAGGCCAAUUCUGACCCAUUUAAUUAAACUCCUUACAAACCCAUUUACCCCUUUUACAAACCCGGUUGACCCAUUUAACAACCCUUCAGCCCAUACAACCUACCCAAUACCCAUUAGCCCAAUUACCCAAACCCUUUAAAACCCAAACAAUACCCAACAACCCACUAACCCCUAAACCCUGGAGCCCAAUAAUCAAGCCCAAUAAAUCUAGACCUAGCCCAACAACCAAAAAAAAAAGCAAGCAAAACAGAAUGGUAUGAAACCCUAGCCACCUACCCCAUCAACAAGGUCACCUCAGCGCCGCAACACCCAUGCCAUCCACCACCUGCUCCACCUGCUCCACCUGCAAAACAAGAAAGACACGCAACAGCAAUAAAAAGAAAGCAGACAGUGUGACAAAAUAGGCUAUAAAGCCGAAUGAAAACGUUUGUACCAGGGCUCUCUUUUUUUUUCAAAAUAUUCAAAAAAAAACAAAUCAAUACAAAAACAACUAAUAUUGAGAAGCAAUCAAAGGGAAAGGUGAUUUCUUUGUUCCUUUUCCUCUUUAUUUCUAUUAUCCUUAAAUAGAUAAACAAAAGAAAUCAAAUCUUACCUUGUUUGGGACGAUCGGAGAGUAGAACCGAAAGGUUUCUCUUGAUUUCUGUCGGCUUUGUUGAGGUUUUUGGAUACUUUAACUACAGAUCUAGGGUGGGGAAACAAAAGGGCUUAAAAUGGGGUCGGUUUUGCACCUUCGAACGGCGGUCCGAUCGCCAGAAAUUGCCCAUGCCCAGAGCCCCCUAGACCCUUUCCCCUUUCUUUUUUCCUAAAACUCAGUUGAAAUGAAAAUUAGAAAAGAAACUUCACUUUUAUACUGUUAAUGAAACGGCGCCGUUUUGCGUUAAUGACCCAGGGCAAAAAACGACGUCGUUUUGCCCUGGGUCGGAUCGACCCGACCCGACCCGCUAGGAUCCGCGUGUUUUUUUAACGGAGGGGUUAUUUGCACGUUUAGCCCCUCCACUUUUUAAAGGUUUUGCAAUUAAGUCUUUCAUGUUUUUUUAUUUUGGCCACAUAUUUUUUUGGUUUUCAAUUUAGUCCCCUCAUAUACGCUGCGUUUUGAUGGGAAGGGGAAAUUUCUAUUUUGGUCCUCCUAGG